GGCUGGAUAGCUCAGUUGGUGAGAGCGAGGGAUUCAUAACCCCUAGGUCGGCGGUUCGACUCCGCCUCCAGCCA
rnacentral:tRNA from 1 species